CACUGGAUGGAGGCCCGAACCCACGCACGUUGAAAAGUGCGGGGAUGAGGUGUGGGUAGCGGAGAAAUUCCAAUCGAACUUGGAGAUAGCUGGUUCUCUCCGAAAUAGCUUUAGGGCUAGCCUCAAGAUUUAGAGUAUUGGAGGUAGAGCACUGUUUGGACUAGGGGCCCCCAUCGGGUUACCGAAUUCAGACAAACUCCGAAUGCCAAAUACUUAUUCUUGGGAGUCAGACUACGAGUGAUAAGAUCCGUGGUCAAGAGGGAAACAGCCCAGACCACCAGCUAAGGUCCCAAAGUAUACGUUAAGUGGAAAAGGAUGUGGAGU
rnacentral:rRNA from 2 species